UCCCCCUCACACAAAGGCUUUACGCCGCCGCCCGGCCGGCACGCAACUUUCCCUGCCCCGCAGCGAACGGCGGCCGCCCGCCCCUCCCGCCUGACAGCGCCUUCCGCGCCGCUCCCCCGCAAAGUUUGCGGCCGGCCUCCUCCGAGCCGGGGAACGCCCGCAAUCCGACUCGGGGCCAUGUUGGGGUCGGCGGCGGCUCCGGCCAGCCCGGUGCUCCGAGCGCGGGACGGAGCGGCCGCGAACAAAGAACUUCUCGCCCCGCCGGCCCAGAACUGAAAGACUCAGAAGACAGUUUUCAAUGUUACAAUGAGUUAGCUUUGUUUCUACCUAGAUCCAGCGAGCAAAGGCGCACAAGAAAGCAUGCAGGGAUUUUGGGAAGAGGAGGCUAUGAUCUUCCCACCUUGCACCAUGCAAAGUCACAGAAGUGCUUUGUAGAAGUUUGUAUAUGAGUCCUGUGGUGCAAAACCAGCUGCCUUCAGCACCAAUGCUCCUGUGAACAGUCAACCCUAUCACUAGCAUUCUGAAGCCAAGCACGCUGCCAGUGUCAGAGGUGGAUGUUGGUGGUAUGGCAGUAGAAGCUGGAUCUUCCUGUCAGAAUUCCAUUGCACGUUGUUGCCAUGUGACGACCAGCAGCAGAUGCACCAACUGGCAAAAUGGCAUCUGACAUGAAAGUGGUAUGAAGCAAAGGGGUGUAACUGUAUUCCUCUUUGCAGAAGCAGUUGCACCCAUUGACAUUCAUCAACCCUUGCUGAAGGUUUAUGGGGACCAAAGAUGUGAGCACGGUGAGGCGUGCAGAAGAAGUGACAGCAAUGUGAAAGACACGCCAUGUUCCAGAUGUGCAGAUCUUUACGAGUGCAGCAUGCAGGCUCUUGCUUAUCUCUGGCAAAAAUGUGUAGUUAAUGGUGAUUAUGUUGAAAAAAAAGUGUUUAGUAGAUGAGAAUUUGCUCUAUCAAAUAGCAUUAUUGUGCUCUUUGUAUCUGUUGUAGUUUUCUUGGAAAUAUAUAGGAGGCGUUACUUUCAGAGCAACCUACUUAUAUUUGGCACCCAGCUGUUUUCCCCUUUUCAAAAUACUAGCUAGUAUGAGCAUAAACGGGAUCUAAACUACUUUCAUUUAAAUAUGGCUUUCUGGAUAUGCUGUGUACAGUACUGCUUGGUACAUAAUCACAGUAAAGAUACCAUCAUGGUGUUUGCAACCAAUAAAUUUGUGUCUCAUCUUUAUGAUAUGUGCUUAAAAACUAAAAUGAAACCAAAAUACAACUUAAAUCUCUUUAGUUCAUUUUGGUUAUUCAGUAUGGCAAAGAUUCCUUGGUGAAGAGAAUGCUGUAAAAAUAGAAACUGGUAGGCUAAGAAGUUUUACUUCAUGGCUUCAUAGGCAGGGAAGAUGCAGCAAAGGCAGAAUGGUAGCCAGUGCUCACACGGUUCUGGGAUCUUGAUUUUGAACAGAGAUAAAUAAGUACUCAUGAAAAGCCAUAUGAUGUAGAGGAAUGCUUGAGUGAAGAAUUGAAAGUCUGAGGACACUGUACGAGUGAAUUUAAGAAGGCUGAUGGGUACUUUUCAUUUCUGUAGAUGAAACAGAAGAAAUUUAUAUGCAGAAAGCAUAUACAUAUAAAUAAGAUUCAUAUCAUCACUAGAUGAGAGAACUCUACUUAUCUCUCACCAUAUACAACUUCAUGACUACCCACACCAUGGCCCAGGCUUAAAUAAGAUCAGCUAAUGUGUGGAACACACGAAACUAGAGAAACAAUGCUGGUAAACAGACAAGAGCUUUGUGUAGAAUUUAUACCCAUGAUAUUGUUUCUUUCCUCUAAACAUGUAUAUGUAGAUAACAUUUGGUCAGUGCAGAUGAAUGUUCUGAAGAGCUUCUUCACUCAUACUUAGGAGCAGCGUUCAUGUUUACUCCACUUAAAGAAGCUAAAAGCUCAUCCCUCAGUUUGGACUUCUCAUCUCGACAGUCUUGACAGCUGUGAUUUACCCCUGCUGGAACAGGUGACUAAAACAAGGUAGAUCAAUCAGUCUUUGGAAAUCCAGGGCUGUUUCAUCUUGCUGACUGCAAGGAAUUCACUGGAAGAGGAUAGGUGCAGGCACUCAGACCAAUCCCACCUGGGCUCUGACUUCCUGAGCAGAGCUUUCUUCCAUCUGUGCCUCUUUCCUGGCAGCCCAUGACCUCGACUCUGACUUUUUUGCAUCUGCCCUCUUUACCUCUGCCUGAUAAAAGUGCCCCAUACAGUAUUCCUACUAUGAUAACAUAAUAGAACCCUAUUCAUGAAGCCUCAACAGUAUAUACCACAAGGAAAACAAGCCCAUUCCUUGUCUUCUAUGCUUACUUCCUGAAGAAUCCCAAAGAACAUAGGAUUCCUCCACUUAGUGCAGCUGAAAAACCUACCAAAUGCUCAGAAGUGAUAACUGCAAUAAUAACAUCAUUCCUCAGACACUCUGGAGCCUAUUAGAGUGAACUUUGUUUGUAUAGGAAACUAGGGUAAUGCAGCACUGCAAAACAAUCUCCACUGUCUUCUGCUCCAACCACAAAGCUGCGAGCUUCUACCUGCCAUCUCCAUACAUGGAAGGGAAGAGAAGCACAAGCAGUUCAAAAUAUGCAGAAAACCUCCACCCAUCAAGGCAGACCUCCAAAGUCUGUGUGCGGUAAGACGGCGAACGGGGUUUACUUAUCUCCACAGAGCUUGGAAAAGGGUGAAGAUCAGUGGGCCAUAUUCUACAGCCCUUAUUCAGUUGCCAUUUUACUGCCUAAGUCUGGGAGACAUCAGUGAGGAAGCUUCUUUCAGCCAGAAAAGAUGAAUAAAGACUUCA